rnacentral:rRNA from 1 species
AUACGGAGGAUCCGAGCGUUAUCCGGAUUUAUUGGGUUUAAAGGGUGCGCAGGCGGCCAUUUAAGUCAGCGGUUAAAUCGUGGGGCUCAACCCCAUUCUGCCGUUGAUACUGGGUGGCUUUAUUGCGGUCGCGGUUUGCGGAAUUCGCUGGUGAGAGGUGAAAUGCAUAGAUAUGACGAAGAACACCGAUUGCGUAGGCUGCUGACCAGACCGCAAAUGACGCUCAUGCACGAAAGUGCGGGGAUCGAACAGGAUUAGAUACCCUGGUAGUCCGCACAGUAAACGAUGAAUACUUGUUUUCGGCGAUAUAAUGUCGGAGGCAAAGCGAAAGCGAUAAGUAUUCCGCCUGGGGAGUACGCCGGCAACGGUGAAACUCAAAUGAAUUGACGGGG